UGGGGAAUAUUGGACAAUGGGCGAAAGCCUGAUCCAGCCAUGCCGCGUGUGUGAAGAAGGUCUUCGGAUUGUAAAGCACUUUAAGUUGGGAGGAAGGGCAGUAAGCGACUACCUUGCUGUUUUGACGUUACCGACAGAAUAAGCACCGGCUAACUCUGUGCCAGCAGCCGCGGUAAUACAGAGGGUGCAAGCGUUAAUCGGAAUUACUGGGCGUAAAGCGAGCGUAGGUGGUUCGUUAAGUUGAAUGUGAAAGCCCCGGGCUCAACCUGGGAACUGCAUCCAAAACUUGCGAGCUAGAGUAGGGCAGAGGGUGGUGGAAGUUCCUGUGUAGCGGUGAAAUGCGUAGAUAUAGGAAGGAACACCAGUGGCGAAGGCGACCACCUGGGCUCAUACUGACACUGAGGUGCGAAAGCGUGGGGAGCAAACAGG
rnacentral:rRNA from 1 species